CUUGUACACACCGCCCGUCACACCAUGGGAGCGGGUUCUGCCAGAAGUAGUUAGCCUAACCGCAAGGAGGGCGACUACCACGGCAGGGUUCGUGACUGGGGUG
rnacentral:rRNA from 1 species